rnacentral:sRNA from 1 species
UUUUUCUCCAGCCGGGGAAGGAUGAGAAGCUUCGACUAAGGUUCGAUUCGAGCGCAGCGAGAAAGCGUUGCCGCAGGCAACGACCCGAAGGGCGAGGAGCGUAGCGACGAGUAAUCUUUCCCCCCACCACCA